rnacentral:miRNA from 12 species
CCCUCUGCUCUGGAGCCAGGCUGGGAGAGCUGGGGAUGCUCACCUGAAAAAGAAAAGGAUCCAGGGAGAGCUCAGAGCCUAGAGGGGCUCCAGAAGAGCUGGAGAGGG